rnacentral:rRNA from 1 species
AGAGUUUGAUCCUGGCUCAGGACGAACGCUGGCGGCGUGCUUAACACAUGCAAGUUGAACGAGAAGUUUCUUCUUGAAUUUUUCGGAAUGAUUGAAGAGAUGGAAAGUAGCGAACGGGUGAGUAACGCGUGGGUAACCAACCUUAAACUGGGGGACAACAUCGGGAAACCGGUGCUAAUACCGCAUAUAUGCAGACAUGGCAUCAUGAUUGCAGGAAAGGCUUCGGCCGGUUUAAGACGGACCCGCGUCCAAUUAGCUAGUUGGUGGUGUAAUGGACCACCAAGGCGACGAUUGGUAGCCGGGCUGAGAGGCUGAACGGCCACAUUGGGACUGAGACACGGCCCAGACUCCUACGGGAGGCAGCAGUGGGGAAUAUUGCACAAUGGGGGAAACCCUGAUGCAGCGACGUCGCGUGAAGGAUGAAGGUUUUGGGAUCGUAAACUUCUUUGAUCUUGGACGAAAAGAGANGGACCC